rnacentral:rRNA from 1 species
UACGUAGGUGACAAGCGUUGUCCGGAUUUACUGGGCGUAAAGAGCGCGCAGGCGGUCGAUCAAGUCGAGUGUGAAAGCCCCCGGCUCAACUGGGGAGGGUCAUUCGAUACUGAUCGAUUCGAAGGCAGGAGAGGGUAGUGGAAUUCCCGGUGUAGUGGUGAAAUGCGUAGAUAUCGGGAGGAACACCAGUGGCGAAGGCGACUACCUGGCCUGUUCUUGACGCUGAGGCGCGAAAGCUAGGGGAGCAAACGGGG